AGUGAACGCUGGCGGUAGGCCUAACACAUGCAAGUCGAACGGCAGCACAGUAAGAGCUUGCUCUUACGGGUGGCGAGUGGCGGACGGGUGAGGAAUACAUCGGAAUCUACUUUUUCGUGGGUGAUAACGUAGGGAAACUUACGCUAAUACCGCAUACGACCUACGGGUGAAAGCAGUGGAUCUUCGGACCUUUCGCGAUUGAAUGAGCCGAUGUCGGAUUAGCUAGUUGGCGGGGUAAAGGCCCACCAAGGCGACGAUCCGUAGCUGGUCUGAGAGGAUGAUCAGCCACACUGGAACUGAGACACGGUCCAGACUCCUACGGGAGGCAGCAGUGGGGAAUAUUGGACAAUGGGCGCAAGCCUGAUCCAGCCAUACCGCGUGGGUGAAGAAGGCCUUCGGGUUGUAAAGCCCUUUUGUUGGGAAAGAAAAGCAGCAGGUUAAUACCCCGCUGUUCUGACGGUACCCAAAGAAUAAGCACCGGCUAACUUCGUG
rnacentral:rRNA from 1 species